rnacentral:rRNA from 1 species
CCAAUAGCGUAUAUUAAAGUUGUUGCAGUUAAAAAGCUCGUAGUUGAAUUUCGGGAUCAAAUUGUCGGUCGUGCCUCGGUACGUACUGGCGUUAUUGGUUCCUCCCUUCUGAAGAACCGCGAUGUCAUUAAUUUGGUGUCGCGGGGAAUCAGGACUGUUACUUUGAAAAAAAUUAGAGUGUUUAAAGCAGGCCCGCGCGUGAAUACAUUAGCAUGGAAUAAUGAAAUAGGACGUUUGAUUCUAUUUUGUUGGUUUCUAGGAUCGACGUAAUGAUUAAUAGGGAUAGUUGGGGGCAUUAGUAUUCAAUUGUCAGAGGUGAAAUUCUUGGAUUUAUUGAAGACUAACUACUGCGAAAGCAUUUGCCAAGGAUGUUUUCAUUAAUCAAGAACGAAAGUUAGGGGGUCGAAGACGAUCAGAUACCGUCGUAGUCUUAACCAUAAACUAUGCCGACUAGGGAUCGGAUGAUGUUAAUUUUUUAAUGACUCAUUCGGCGCCUUACG